rnacentral:lncRNA from 1 species
UGGGAUCACUCAUCCACUGUCUACCUCCACUGGGAACCUCGCCACACAGUGGCUUUUUCCCAGGUCUUUUCUGGUAAGGACACCAGUUCCGUGGGAGUAAGGCCACCUCAGGACCUUGCCUUAACGCAAUUCCACCUGCAGAGACCCGACUUCCAGACAAGGUUCUCGGGGCCACUAGAGGAGAAACAUCCGUGUGGCUGAGGAAGAGUUGGCUGUUUUGUAUCCCAAGUUCCCACAUGGAAAUGAAUUCGGUGACCCCCCAUCUCCCGAGGGCCUCCUGGUUUGGCCCUGGUCUCCGGGAACCGAGUACCUGGGUGGGUGGGGAGCUGUACAAGCUAAGACCAGGGAAGGACGCCUGGGGGACGGAUGCCACGGCCCGUGCACGGUCGAUUGGAGCCGCAGGGCAGGGAGGAUCUACAGGGCAAGUUCCAGGUGAGACCAGAGAGAGCUGCAGCUGCCCCGGCUCUGGAAGCCCCCAGCCCUCCCGAGGCCCAGCCUUCAGCCCACGUAUCCUCUGAACCCGUUCACCACGGUCAGAAGUGGUUGCAAACUGGAUUUUUAGACUCUUCCUGUUGGGGGUCUCGGACAUUUGCUCUUUUCCACAGCGGCCAAUUCUUCAGAGCCACAAAGAACUGGGCGACGCAGGGUUCCUCAAGCAAUUCCAAACUCCAGAGAAGACAUCCCAGGUAAAAUCGGAUGGCAGGGACCUGGG